GAGAGACAAAAAAGGCGAAGAAGGAGGCAGAAACAUGGGUGUUUUGGGACUUAAACAGCUGUCCGGUUCCCAAAGAUUGCGAUGCUCGUCUGGUCGGUUCGUCUAUAGAAUCGGCUUUGAAGAAGGCAGGUCACUGUGAAGGUCAUCUUUACCAUCUCUGCCAUUGGCAACCUCAAUUACAUCUUACAACUAAACUCUCAUGUACUUCAGGCCCUCUUUUCGACUGGAAUUUGUCUUUCACACCCCUCCCGGUUAAUCUUCCUAUCUGUUUCUCCCAGAAAAAUAAGGGUUUUUCACUGACGCUAUUGAUGAUUUAUUGCGGUAUAACAUUAAUAUUCCAUCUCGGGCUACUGUAAUGAUCAUUACCGGUGCUGUGCACGUGGAUCGUGUAACUGCUCAUUUCCCCUACCUACGGUCUGAGGGAUACACCCCUCUUCUGGCAUAUCCGGGCAAUUCUAAAGAGCUUACUUCUAGAAAGAACUUUUCCUGGGAGACCUUAUUGAAAGAGGAGAUGGGCCCCUCUGAUAUAGAUGAAUCUUUUCAGAGUUUGUUUUCUUGCAAACUAUGCUCAGCUGAUGGCGAAGUCUUUGAAGAUUUCAACACGCAUCUCAAGAGUAGAGAUCAUUUAGAGCGUGAGUUGUGCAAGCAGAGGAGACCUCCACUCAAGAGGAAGAUGGAGAAGCCAGAUUUCAAUGUUUCUGAAUACAAUAACUGUUGGGGUCAAAAUCGGUUACGACGGAAUCAAUGUUUAAAAGUCCCCAGAAAAUAUUUACCGCAGUAAAAAC